GCCUUGGCUGGGCGGUCUGCCUCACGGUAUGUACUGUCUGGCUGUGGCUUACCUUCUGGUGAGCUCGCAUGUCGUUUACUCGGUGUGUGAGUGAACCAGGACGUUUACUUUGAGAAAAUUAGAGUGUUCAAAGCAGGCAAAUGCCCGAAUACAUUAGCAUGGAAUAAUGGAAUAGGACGUGCGGUUCUAUUUUGUUGGUUUCUAGAGUCGCCGUA
rnacentral:rRNA from 1 species